AACACGAUAGUUUAGCUGGUAAGAAAAACAUAACGGCAUGUUUUAGAAGAUGUGGGUUCGAGUCCCGCUCGUGUUG
rnacentral:tRNA from 1 species